GGGGAUGUCUUGGUUUCGACAGGGAUAUUGAAGUUUGAAUAGCGAGUCGUUUUCGUCUACAAACGUAAAAAAGGACAACUAAAUAUAAACGCUGAAGAUAAUAACUUCGCAUUAGCUGCCUAAUAACGGCGGCCGAUUCAAAAACUAGAAAAUCGUCCUGCGUUUUCUUUUUGAAUCUCAACUAAUUAGCAGGAACAUCUCGUAUAUUUUCCUCUGGUAUAUGAGAUUAUUUAAGAGGAUAUAUCGAUCAUAGUUUUGUCAAUUAAAUUUUGAUCGACGAAUAAAACUUAAUUGACUGCACUCGGAGAAGUUCUUAGGGAUAUAUUUUUGGACAGGAGUUCGAAUCUCCUCAUCUCCACCA
rnacentral:tmRNA from 1 species